UACGAAGGGGGCUAGCGUUGUUCGGAAUUACUGGGCGUAAAGCGCACGUAGGCGGAUACUUAAGUCAGGGGUGAAAUCCCGGGGCUCAACCCCGGAAGUGCCCCAGAAACGGUCGGACUCGAGUGCUGGAGAGGGUCGUGGAAUUCCCGGUGUAGCGGUGAAAUGCGUAGAGAUCGGGAGGAACACCAGAGGCGAAGGCAGUGUCCUGGGGAGUACCUGACGCUCAGGUGCGAAAGCCAGGGGAGCGAACGGG
rnacentral:rRNA from 1 species